CCUUAAGUUGUACACCUUUAAGGCCAAGAGCACCUCCUUCAAGUAUUGCGAGUGUUGCACCUGGAUAGUUUAUUUAACCAUCAUGAGGGAAUUUUUCAGUUUAUCACCCUCUAUCAUGAGGAUUUGGUUAUACCCCGAAUAGGCGUUCAAGAAGUUAAGCAUGUUGUGAUCGACACCUUUAUCAAUCAGUUAGUCUAUACUUGGUAGUGGGUAAGUGCCCUUAGGACAGGCCUUGUGAGGUUCGAGUAGUCAAUGCACAUCCUCUAUGUAUCAUUUGCCAUUUUCACCAGGAUGACGUUGGUCAGCCACGUCGUGUACCUUGCCUCCUUAAUGAACCUAACCUACAACAACUUCUCGACCUUGACCUUUGUGGCUUGUCUUCUUUCUUCACCAAAUUUCCUCUUCUUUUGCGAUAUAUCUCUAGCCUCUGUGAAUGUUGAUAGCCAAUGGGAGGCCACCUCGUGGUGACCCCUAGGAGGUUGACCAACAUUCGAGCGAACGAGUCGGCAUUGUCGUUCAACAAUCAAUUAAUUAGGGUUUCCUCUUAUCCUUCAAUUGUCAUGCCUUCUUCAAACCACACUCGUCAAAGAAGCUGAAGUGCCUUGCUUCCUCUAUCGGCUCCAACUUCUCAUGAUUCCCUACUCAAGGAUCAAGAUCCUCUCCCACAAUACCCUUGGCCGACUUUGCUCGCUCAACGCUAUUGGUACUAAAAAGACGUAGACUAGCGAUGUAACACUAUUUGGUCAUCUUCUAAUCUUCAUGCAUGGUGAUGAUGUACCCGGACGUUGAAGGGAACUUCAUUUCUAAGUGUAGGGUAGAAACUACCACUCCCAGGAUGUUUAGUGAUAGGCGCCCCAAUAGAACAUUGUAUGAGGUACUAACAUUGAUGACUAGGUACCUAACUAGUAUGGUCCAGGUCAACCUUCCAUUUCUUAAGGUCCUGUGUGGAACGAAGUACCCUAUGGCAGAAACCUUUUCCCUAAAGAAGUCAUACAACUACUCGUCAUAGGGUCUCAUGACCUCCUUUAAUAGUUCCAAUUGCUUGUACGUUCUCCAAUAAAGUAUGUCUAAUGAGAUUCCUUGGUCCAUCAGGACCUUUUUAUUAGUGAAGUGUUUGGC
rnacentral:lncRNA from 1 species